CGUGGGGAGCAAACCAGGAUUAGAUACCCCUGGUAGUCCACGCCGUAAACGAUGUCUACUCGGAAUUUGGUGUCUUGAACACUGGGUUCUCAAGCUAACGCAUUAAGUAGACCGCCUGGGGAGUACGGCCGCAAGGUUAAAACUCAAAUGAAUUGACGGGGGCCCGCACAAGCGGUGGAGCAUGUGGUUUAAUUCGGAUGCAACGCGAAGAACCUUACCUACUCUUGACAUCCAGAGAACUUUCCAGAGAUGGAUUGGUGCCUUCGGGAACUCUGAGACAGGUGCUGCAUGGCUGUCGUCAGCUCGUGUUGUGAAAUGUUGGGUUAAGUCCCGCAACGAGCGCAACCCUUAUCCUUAUUUGCCAGCACGUAAUGGUGGGAACUUUAGGGAGACUGCCGGUGAUAAACCGGAGGAAGGUGGGGACGACGUCAAGUCAUCAUGGCCCUUACGAGUAGGGCUACACACGUGCUACAAUGGUCGGUACAGAGGGUUGCGAAGCCGCGAGGUGGAGCUAAUCUCACAAAGCCGGUCGUAGUCCGGAUUGGAGUCUGCAACUCGACUCCAUGAAGUCGGAAUCGCUAGUAAUCGUAGAUCAGAAUGCUACGGUGAAUACGUUCCCGGGCCUUGUACACACCGCCCGUCACACCAUGGGAGUGGGCUGCACCAGAAGUAGAUAGCUUAACCUUCGGGAGGGCGUUUACCAC
rnacentral:rRNA from 1 species